rnacentral:rRNA from 1 species
AAAUUGAAGAGUUUGAUCAUGGCUCAGAUUGAACGCUGGCGGCAGGCCUAACACAUGCAAGUCGAACGGUAACAGGAAGAAGCUUGCUUCUUUGCUGACGAGUGGCGGACGGGUGAGUAAUGUCUGGGAAACUGCCUGAUGAAGGGGGAUAACUACUGGAAACGGUAGCUAAUACCGCAUAACGUCGCAAGACCAAAGAGGGGGACCUUCGGGCCUCUUGCCAUCGGAUGUGCCCAGAUGGGAUUAGCUAGUAGGUGGGGUAACGGCUCACC